AUGGAGAAAGCUCCAAGGAUUGACCCGCUCUACAACCCUAAUUCAUCGUCAUUGGGGCGAAAGAAGAGUGUGAUAGAAGCAUAUAAGUUUCAGCCUAGGGAUCAGCCUAUCAAACAAAAAAAAUGUACCGCUUGUGUAGCCUAUGCGAAGCGAACAAGCAAGGGAUUGAGCUGCGCGAAAGCCGCGUUCGCGCAUUCGUUUUCUUGCUGGGUACAAGAUCGAAAAGAAUGCAUUGGAUGGAUGCCCGGGCAUUGA